CUGAGCUUGCUGGGCAGUGAAAGAUAGAAAUGAUGACACGAUGAGAAGUAACCUAGAGAGAGAGAGAGAGAGAUAGGGUAGGGGUGACAGUAUUAAUUUAGUAGUGAUAUGAGUGUGGGAUAUCAUUAUAAUUCCCAAAAAACCUGAUUUGAAUGUGGCGGGAGAAUGGCGCGCACUGUCUGUCUGCGCUAAAACGGACAACAGCAAACUGGACGGCGGCAGCGUGGGGCGGUGUCACUGUGACGGUAGGACGUGGGAUUGGUCGUGUUGUGUGGGUGGCCUGUGGGUUCCUGCCUUCCCGCCCACUUGUGACAGCUGCAGGAUGUUGACAGGCUUGAUAGCUGCGCAGGAGGGAGGAGACUUGGGAACACUGACAAAAUGAACAGUGUGAACAAGAACAAGAACAGCACAGAGUCAGCAUCUCAACGCAGCCUAUUACCUUUCAUGUGACUUGUGGUGCCUGACAGGAUGAUUGUAGAUCCCUGCAUCACCUCUACCUUCAUCACCAUCUGAAUGUCAAGAAGAAACAACAAGGGCAGUGAACAAGGUGAAGAAAAAUGUGUUGGCCAGUCAGUUUUGUUGCUUCACAUGUCACUGCUACCACCGUCACCAUUAAGAAGAGUGAGGGGGCCAGUGGUGCACCUCUGUGUGUCACCACUACCAUCACCAAGGAGGAUGUGCAGGCCAGUCUUGUAGCUGUAGUCACUAUGGGACAGCUGGCAUGAACACUGCACUGUAAUUUUAUUGUUCGUCAUUACAGGAGGAAAUAUACUAACCCCUUCAGUACCGGGAUGCAUUUUCAUAUUUAUUCUACUUACUAUUUGGCAAUUUUAUCAGCUUCAGAAACUUAUGUAGGGAUUGAAAUAGUGAAGACUGGCUAUUAAUCUUCUGACCUCCAUGGACCCUUCCUAAUGUAAACAAAAUAGUUUGAUCACACUUAACAAUUCAUGAUAAAAAUGCAUCCCAGUACUGAAGGGAUUAAUGGUGUGGAUAAGUUGACAGGCUGCUAUUAACACCACUUUUAUAUUAUUGAGUAACUUGGGAUUAUAUUCUGAAACAUUUCCACACUGCACCUCUACCAUGUUCAAAAGCUGUUAGGUAUUUGAUGGUACAGACAGGGUGCUAGCUAUUCACACUAACCAGCCUUUGAAACCUGCUUUAGGAACUUCUAAUUGUAGUAGUAGUUUGAAGUAGUACUAGUCUAGAUGGUGUAGUGUAUUCUCUUCAAUUGGCACCCUUUGAGUGGUGAUAUUCCUGGCUAGGUUGGUAAGGGUGGUGUUGUGUGGCUGGGUUCCUCUCUGGCUCUCUCUUGCACAGGCAAGCAAGACCAUUUCAUCCCCUCGGCCACAUGUUGCUGCAUUGCCUCACCUCACCUCUUCACAAGUCUGACCACCUUUAGUCAUGUUUGGUGGUAGAGUUAGUGCUCACUUCCUCUGUCUCAAGGCCUCUAUUGAGGUGGCAUUCUGUCAGGGUUUGUAAGAUUGUCAACUGAUCAGAGGACUCAAGGUGGGAGUGGAAGUGAGUACAGAUUUCUGCUACUGACCAUGGCUGUUCAAAGGCGAGGUUAAUACAAAUGCAGUAAUACAGACACAUGUGGCCAAGAGCAUGAAUGGAAAAAGGUCUUGCUUUCCUGUAAGGGAGAGAGCCAGAGAGGAACCCAGCCAUUCAGCAGCCUCCUAGACUUAGCCAGGAAUCACACCAUUUAAGGGGGAGUCCUUUACUUGAAGAGAAUGUACUACGGAACACAUAGGGGAGGGAAUCAAGAGAAGUUUCAUGAAAACCAAUGAAAGGAACCUGAGAGGUGUAUGCAGGAUGUCAAGAAAAUGUAUACAGUAGUACUUUUUUUUUAUUUUAUUGAACCAUCAUCUACAUCUCUUAUUCCCUUAUUCCCCACAACUCAUUGCUAUCUCUGCAGUUGUGUCCUCUUUCAGUGCUAGAUGUCUCCUGUCCUUCCCCACCUGCAGCUUAGCGUCUUUUCUUCUCCUCCCCCACCCAGCCCCAACCUCCAAAUUCUCCAGUGCCUGCCUCACAUCCCCCCCUCUGGUGAGGAAGGCUGUGGUGGCCUGCACAGUGGUGCAUGGCAGAGCACUGUAGUCACCAGACAGGGAACAGGCUGAUCCUCCACCACCUAAGUGGAGGCAGGAGCCCAUACAAGUCCUGGUGGCUGCACUGCCCUACCAUGCACCACGAGGUCAGAUCACACCAGCCUUGCCUCCCCAGGGGGUGUAGAGCAGUGGUACUUGGAGGCCAGGGCAAGGAGGGACUCCAUUGUCUUCAUCUUCAGGGCUCCACCACAUCACUGCAAGAUAGAAAUUCAGCUCAGAAAUCUAUAAAUUUAAAUAGUUAAAUUUGUGUUCUGUAUUUUUAAAUAUACCUAUUUUGGAUGAAAUAUUACUGACUGAGGAACUGUCACAAGGUGAUGGUCCUUCCUGCUGACUGAUUUAACCUCCUUUCUCUCAGAAUUGAUGAUUGCAAACAGUAUAUUAUCAAAAACUAUUUAAAUAAAGGACACAUGUUUCAAAGUGUUAUUUUUUGGUACCUUUCAAUGACGUUCCUACUGCAGGUUUACCCUGAUCAGAAUGACACCCUGCAGGGCUUUACAUCUGAAUCUUAAAAUGGACAAACCCUCACAGCCUUUGUUUCCCACAUGCUGAACCAACACUGUCCUGAUGAAGUCCCUGAUACAUCUGAUCCUUUUCCUCAUCAACUAUGCCCUCCCUCAGCAACACUGUUGAAUACUAGUCCUAACUGAUAAA